rnacentral:lncRNA from 1 species
ACCGCUAUCUUGAGCCUAGCUGCCUAUGUCACUACCAAUGCGACUACCAACGUUGUUGUUGAUGUCUUGCUUGCCUUGUCUGUGUCUGCCUUAGUCAUGCUAGCUUCAUUUUGCCUCGUCUUAUUCCUCAGUUUUUUACUUGUUUAAAUGUGUUUCUGCCUAUCCUUUCCUUUAGCUCCACUUGAUUUUCCUGCACUUGAUCUUAUCCUUGACAAAUGCCAUAUACCGACUUACCCAC